UACGUAGGGUGCGAGCGUUGUCCGGAAUUAUUGGGCGUAAAGAGCUCGUAGGCGGUGUGUCACGUCGGCCGUGAAAACCUGCAGCUUAACUGUGGGCGUGCGGUCGAUACGGGCAUCACUGGAGUUCGGUAGGGGAGACUGGAAUUCCUGGUGUAGCGGUGAAAUGCGCAGAUAUCAGGAGGAACACCGGUGGCGAAGGCGGGUCUCUGGGCCGAUACUGACGCUGAGGAGCGAAAGCGUGGGGAGCGAACAGG
rnacentral:rRNA from 1 species